ACAAACCGGAGGAAGGUGGGGAUGACGUCAAAUCAUCAUGCCCCUUAUGACCUGGGCUACACACGUACUACAAUGGCCGGUACAACGGGCUGUGAGCUCGCGAGAGUCAGCGAAUCCCUUAAAGCCGGUCUCAGUCCGGAUCGGAGUCUGCAACUCGACUCCGUGAAGUCGGAAUCGCUAGUAAUCGUGAAUCAGAAUGUCACGGUGAAUACGUUCCCGGGCCUNNGGUACAACGGGCUGUGAAGCCGCGAGGUGGAACGAAUCCUAAAAAGCCGGUCUCAGUUCGGAUUGCAGGCUGCAACUCGCCUGCAUGAAGUCGGAAUUGCUAGUAAUCGCGGAUCAGCAUGCCGCGGUGAAUACGUUCCCGGGUCUUGUACACACCGCCCGUCACACCACGAGAGUUUAUAACACCCGAAGUCGGUGGGGUAACCGCAAGGAGCCAGCCGCCGAAGGUGGGAUAGAUGAUUGGGGUGAAGUCGUAACAAGGUAGCCGUAUCGGAAGGUGCGGCUGGAUCACCUCCUUA
rnacentral:rRNA from 1 species